ACUCGAGUGGCGAACGGGUGAGUAACACGUGGGUGAUCUGCCCUGCACUUCGGGAUAAGCCUGGGAAACUGGGUCUAAUACCGGAUAGGAGCCAUUUUUAGUGUGAUGGUUGGAAAGUUUUUCGGUGUAGGAUGAGCUCGCGGCCUAUCAGCUUGUCGGUGGGGUAAUGGCCUACCAAGGCGGCGACGGGUAGCCGGCCUGAGAGGGUGGACGGCCACAUUGGAACUGAGACACGGUCCAG
rnacentral:rRNA from 1 species